GACGAACGCUGGCGGCGUGCUUAACACAUGCAAGUCGAACGGAAAGGCCUCUCUCGGGGGGUACUCGCGUGGCGAAAGGGUGAGUAAAACGUGAGUAUCCUCCCCUUGACUUUGGGGUAAAUUCUGGAGAAUCGGGGGCAUACAGGAUAUGGGAUCCUGCUGCGUGGGGGGGGGUGGGGAGUUUCGGCGGGUUGGGGUGGACACUCGGCUUAUCAGCGUGUUUGUGGGGGGGUGGGUUACCAAGGGUUUGGCAGGUAUCCGGGCCUGGAGGGUGACCGGGCACAAUUGGACUGGGAUACGGCCCAGACUCCUACGGGAGGCAGCAGGUGGGAAUAUUUCACAAUGGGUGGAAGCCCGAUGCAGCAACGCCGGGUGCGGGAUUACGGGCUUCGGGUUGUAAACCGCUUUCGCUCAGUACGAAGCUGUGUGUGACGGUAGUGGGUAAAGAAGCACCGGCUAACUACGUG
rnacentral:rRNA from 1 species